UACGUAGGGGCGAGCGUUGUCCGAAGUUACUGGGCGUAAAGCGCGCGAGGCGGGGAUUAAGUGAGAGGUGAAAGGCUGGGGCUCAACCUCAUGCAGUGCCUCUCAUACUGGUUCUCUUGAGGGCGGUAGGGGAGAAGUGGAAUGGGCUGGUGUAGCGGGUGAAAAUGCGUAGAUAUCAGUCGGAACACCGGUGGCGAAGGCGGCUUCUUGGGGCCGUUCCUGACGCUGAGGCGCGAAAAGCUGGGGGGAGCGAACGGGGAU
rnacentral:rRNA from 1 species